rnacentral:rRNA from 1 species
GACGAACGCUGGCGGCGUGCUUAACACAUGCAAGUCGAACGGUGAAGGGACUGGUUUUGCUGGUCCUGGAUGAGUGGCGAACGGGUGAGUAACACGUGAGUAACCUGCCCCCUUCUUCUGGAUAACCGCAUGAAAGUGUGGCUAAUACGGGAUAUUCUGGGUCUGUCGCAUGGUGGGCCUGGGAAAGAUUGCGCCUUUUUUGGUGUUUUUGGUGGGGGAUGGGCUCGCGGCCUAUCAGCUUGUUGGUGGGGGGAUGGCCUAACAAGGCGGUGACGGGUAGCCGGCCUGAGAGGGUGGACGGUCACACUGGGACUGAGACACGGCCCAGACUCCUACGGGAGGCAGCAGUGGGGAAUAUUGCACAAUGGGCGCAAGCCUGAUGCAGCGACGCCGCGUGAGGGAUGGAGGCCUUCGGGUUGUGAACCUCUUUCGCCAGUGAAGCAGGCCUGCCUCUUUUUGUGGGUGGGUUGACGGUAGCUGGAGAAGAAGCGCCGGCUAACUACGUG